GGAUGCGAUCAUACCAGCACUAAAGCACCGGAUCCCAUCAGAACUCCGUAGUUAAGCGUGCUUGGGCGAGAGUAGUACUAGGAUGGGUGACCUCCUGGGAAGUCCUCGUGUUGCAUUCC
rnacentral:rRNA from 3 species